GACGAACGCUGGCGGCGUGCUUAACACAUGCAAGUUGAACGGUCCGGCACGGAACCGUGCCGUAGUGUCGGGAAGUAGCGGACGGGGGAGUAAUGCAUGAGCAGCUGCCAUUGGGAGGGGGACAACAGUUGGAAACGGCUGCUAAUACCCCAUAUGCCGGAAGGUGAAACGGAGUGAUCCGCCCGAUGAGGUGCUCAUGUCCUAUCAGCUAGUUGGUGACGUAACGGCUCACCAAGGCGACGACGGGUAGCCGGCCUGAGAGGGUGAGCGGCGACACAGGAACUGAGAUACGGUCCAGACUCCUACGGGAGGCAGCAGUGGGGAAUAUUGGGCAACGGGGGAAACCCUGAUGCAGCAACGCCGCGUGAGUGAUGACGGCCUUCGGGUUGUAAAGCUCUGUCUUCAGGGACGAUAAUGACGGUACCUGAGGAGGAAGCCACGGCUAACUACGUGCCAGCCGCCGCGGUAA
rnacentral:rRNA from 1 species